GUGAGGAAUAUUGCGCAAUGGAGGCAACUCUGACACAGCCAUGCCGCGUGCAGGAAGAAGGCGCUACGCGUUGUAAACUGCUUUUAACCGGGAAGAAACCCCAGGACGUGUCCUGGGUUGACGGUACCGGAGGAAUAAGCACCGGCUAACUUCGUGCCAGCAGCCGCGGUAAUACGUAGGGUGCAAGCGUUAUCCGGCUUCAUUGGGUUUAAAGGGUGCGUAGGCGGAGCGUUAAGUCAGUGGUGAAAUCCUGCAGCUUAACUGUAGACUGGCCAGUGAUACUGGCGCUCUUGAGUGCGCUUGAAGUGGGCGGAAUGUGCCGUGUAGCGGUGAAAUGCUUAGAUAUGGCACAGAACACCAAUUGCGAAGGCAGCUCACUAAGGCGAUACUGACGCUGAGGCACGAAAGCGUGGGGAUCGAACAGGAUUAGAUACCCCUGUAGUCC
rnacentral:rRNA from 1 species